rnacentral:rRNA from 1 species
CGGCAACAGCUCAAAUUUGAAAUCUGGCCUCUCGGGGUCCGAGUUGUAAUUUGUAGAGGAUGUUUUGGGUACCGCCCCGGUCUAAAUUUCUUGGAACAGAAUGUCAGAGAGGGUGAGAAUCCCGUAUGCGACUGGGUGCCUAAGCUCAUGUGAAGCUCCUUCGAC